AAAAAAAAAAAAAAAAUAAGAAUUAAAGUCAGAACCCUCUUCUCAGAAUUGCUCCAUGAACACACUAGAAAGCAAUAAAUAAAGAAAGAAGCAAAAUUAAAACAUACACCAGUAGAUUUCAGUAGCAAUCUAAUUAUAAUAAUAAACCUGGGCCAGAGGCCUAAACACACAUAUGCAUAUGACAGAUGCCCAGCUUGGAGCAGCAGCAGCAGGCACUAAUCAUAUGUACACCAUCACAAAAGCCAAAGAAAAAUAGAUAGAUAUGAUAUAGUCUGACUCGCCCUUGUAAAAGUUUCCUCGAUGCCCAACUCGCUUGAAGCUAGCCAAGAGAGAUUUUCCAGAGGAACAGAAAAUGCCAAAGGAUCGAAGUUGCCCUAUAAGAGAGAAACCGCCCUUGAGAAGGCGAUUCAGGUUCAUUUCUUCGAACACCUCCCAUUACUUCCACAAUUCUUGAUAAAUUUUUACACUACACGAACCACAACUUUCUUGACGACCACCUCAUAUCUGUUUAUUUAUUCUUGAGCAAGUAUAAGAGAGGUGGCCGUCCGGAGAGUGAAAGAGUCACAUAAUGGGAAGGUGUUAGUGCCGGUGCUAAGAGGGUUUGAACAUGAAGCUUGUGCUGGUUGUUAUAGGUUUUAAUUUCUCUGUCUGGGUCAGGAGGGCAAUAAAGAUUGAGAUGACUUAAGUAGUAGUGUGUGGUCACUUUUGGUUAAAAAGGAAAGCAAAAAAGAAAAGAAAAAGUAGGGAGAGUGCAAUGGAGGUUUCAUGUUUCAGCAUCUUCCAUAGGAUAUGCCAUUGCCACCUCAUUUCCUGUACAUCUAAUGAGAACAACUGCUCCUUUCCAUUAACUCUUUUUUCCAUCAAAUUUUCCUUUAAG
rnacentral:misc_RNA from 1 species